UGUAAUCCCAGCACUUUGGGAGGCUGAGGUGGGUGGAUCACCUGAGGUCAGGAGUUCGAGACCAGCCUGGCCAACAUGGUGAA
rnacentral:SRP_RNA from 1 species